GCACAAAACUCACAAAAUGACCAUAAUGGUUAUUAUGUGGAGAAAAUCCCGUCCCUAGGGAAGCAAAAGUCAAGAGUUAGGAGUAAUACUAUUCUCGUCUUUCUUAAUUCUUCUCUCCAAAACAGUUCUUCAACCCUUGUUGGUUUUCACUUUGCUAUACCUGAAGAUAUAUAUAGCUGAAAAUUCACAAAAAUCCUUUGUUUCUUCUUUUCUUGAUUGAAUCAAGAACUGACUUUGAGGGUUAUAUUUAUGGAGAGAAUAAUUGGAGAGAAGUAUAAGUUAGGUAGAAAGAUUGGAAGCGGUUCUUUUGGGGUUAUAUAUCUUGCUACCCACAUUGAAACUUUUGAGAUUGUUGCUGUUAAAAUUGAAAAUAGGCAGACAAGACACCCUCAGUUGCUUUAUGAGGCAAAGCUGUACACUAUACUUCAGGGAGGAAGUGGUAUUCCUAAUAUAAAAUGGCGUGGGGUUGAUGGGAAUGACAGUGUCCUCAUUAUUGACCUGCUUGGUCCCAGUCUUGAAGACCUUGUUGUACACUGUGGGAGGAAAUUUUCGCUGAAAACUGUCCUAAUGUUGGCUGAUCAGAUGAUUACGAGAAUAGAGUAUUUGCAUUCAAAAGGAUUUCUACAUAGAGACAUAAAACCAGAUAACUUCCUCAUGGGUCUUGGCAGGAAGGCAAAUCAGGUCUAUGUUAUUGAUUUUGGACUUGCAAAACGAUAUCGUGACCCUGUCACAAACCGUCAUAUUCCUUACAGGGAGAACAAGAACCUGACAGGGACAGCAAGGUAUGCCAGUUGCAAUACACAUUUGGGAAUAGAGCAAAGCCGGAGGGAUGAUCUGGAAUCUCUUGGCUACGUUCUUUUAUAUUUCUUGAGAGGCAGCCUUCCGUGGCAGGGUCUAAAAGCUGAUACAAAGAAGCAAAAAUAUGACAAGAUCCGUGAGAAAAAAGUAUCAACACCAAUUGAGGUUUUAUGCAAAUCUCUUCCGGUGGAGUUUGCUUCAUACUUGCAUUAUUGUCACUCUUUAACAUUUGACCAGCGCCCUGAUUAUGGAUUCCUGAAACGCUUGUUUCGUGACUUAUUUACACGUGAAGGGUAUAAAAUGGAUUAUGUGUUUGAUUGGACCAUCUUGAAAUAUCAGCAGACACAGAGGUCAAAGUCGCAGCUAGAACUACCGAGUCUUCAUCCACUUUCUGUAACGACGGGUACUGGAGCAUUGCCAAAGGUUUUACAUAAGCAAGCUGAAGCUACAAAACAGAAGAUAUCAGGUAAUUUUGUACGUGGUGAUGCAUCAGCAACCAAUCUGAAACCUGACAAUCGUACUGGAAAAAAUAUAACAAGCGAUGCGUCUGUUCCUUCUACAUCGUUGGCUGAUGCCUUCAAGAGAAGCUUCCCAAAACAUGAAGAUUCAAUUGAAGUUGGAAAUGUAGGUCAUGCACAAAGUGGGAAAGCUGGUGCUUCAAGCAGCAAGCUGCAUUUCUUGAGCAGGAUGUCUUCUAGGUGAACUGGGAUCAUAGCAUGUAGGAGAAGUGCCGAAGAAGUCAAGGUCUACUUCGUGAUGUUGAAUUCACUUGAGCCAUGUGUACCAGUAUUCUAUCCAUCUCGAGGUGCUCAAGUUCCUGAAAGCUCAAAUCCAGUAUUAGAGCAUUUCAGACAUCUAUAUGUCAUGAACUUGAUGAUGAAGCCUGCCUUUGGUGUUGAAGUUCCAAUGGGGCACCAUCAUGGCUCUUAUAAAAAAUCAACGUUGCCUUUGUUUAUAAUCAUAUACUUGCUGCGGAGAUGAUGGAAUUCUGUAACCUGGAGUCAGAGGUAUUGUGUGAUUGGAGCCAUAGCUUUUCUGCUCCUUUUAUUUUAUCUAUCAUGUCUCGAAAACAAUCUUCAUACUACUACAUGGUAGCCAUUUUCGCUUCAAUAAGGCUUUUUCGUGUAUUUAGCUCACAAAU